AUUGAACGCUGGCGGCAGGCUUAACACAUGCAAGUCGAACGGAGUGGGGACGGGUGAGUAACACGUGGGUAACCUCCCAUCAGAGGGGAUAACACUUGGAAACAGGUGCUAAACCGAUACUGAUGGAUGGACCCGCGGUGCAUGAGCGAGUUGGGCAGGUAACGGCUCACCAAGGCCACGAGGCAUAGCCGACCUGAGAGGGUGAUCGGCCACACGGGGACUGAGCCACGGCCCAGACUCCUACGGGAGGCAGCAGUAGGGAAUUUUCGGCAAUGGACGAAAGCCUGACCGAGCAACGCCGCGUGAGUGAAGAAGGUUUUCGGAUCGUAAAGUUCUGUUGUUAGAGAAGCGGUAUCUAACCAGAAAGCAACGGCUAACUACGUGCCAGCAGCCGCGGUAAUUC
rnacentral:rRNA from 1 species